CCUACGGGAGACAGCAGUGAGGAAUAUUGGUCAAUGGACGCAAGUCUGAACCAGCCAUGCCGCGUGCAGGAAGACGGCUCUAUGAGUUGUAAACUGCUUUUGUACGAGGGUAAACGCAGAUACGCGUAUCUGUCUGAAAGUAUCGUACGAAUAAGGAUCGGCUAACUCCGUGCCAGCAGCCGCGGUAAUACGGAGGAUUCAAGCGUUAUCCGGAUUUAUUGGGUUUAAAGGGUGCGUAGGCGGUCGGAUAAGUUAGAGGUGAAAUCCCGAGGCUCAACUUCGGAAUUGCCUCUGAUACUGUUAGGCUAGAGAAGAGUUGAGGUAGGCGGAAUGUGUGGUGUAGCGGUGAAAUGCUUAGAGAUCAUGAAGAACACCGAUUGCGAAGGCAGCUUACCAAGCUACUUCUGACGUUGAGGCACGAAAGCGUGGGGAGCAAACAGGAUUAGAUACCCCGGUAGUC
rnacentral:rRNA from 1 species